AGCGAACGCUGGCGGCAGGCCUAACACAUGCAAGUCGAACGAACCCUUCGGGGUUAGUGGCGGACGGGUGAGUAACACGUGGGAACGUGCCUUUAGGUUCGGAAUAACUCAGGGAAACUGUGCUAAUACCGAAUGUGCCCUUCGGGGGAAAGAUUUAUCGCCUUUAGAGCGGCCCGCGUCUGAUUAGCUAGUUGGUGAGGUAAUGGCUCACCAAGGCUACGAUCAGUAGCUGGUCUGAGAGGAUGACCAGCCACAUUGGGACUGAGACACGGCCCAAACUCCUACGGGAGGCAGCAGUGGGGAAUCUUGCGCAAUGGGCGAAAGCCUGACGCAGCCAUGCCGCGUGGAUGAUGAAGGUCUUAGGAUUGUAAAAUCCUUUCACCGGUGAAGAUAAUGACUGUAGCCGGAGAAGAAGCCCCGGCUAGCUUCGUGCCAGCAGCCGCCGUAAAAC
rnacentral:rRNA from 1 species